UGUUAAAAAUAUCAUCUAAUUUUACUGUUAAAAUUAGUGUGGUUAAUAAAAUAAUCAGACUGUGAUAUAAAACGUACCACGUGUACCUUAUACUGAUGUAUAAGAUCCCGAUUUUAAUAAUAAAAAUAGAUGAAAUGUUUAACA
rfam:Gossypium raimondii Chr03_contig_20, whole genome shotgun sequence.